rnacentral:lncRNA from 1 species
AAUCGAAGCGUGUAAAGGUAUUGAUUCAAGGGUGAGUGGAAUGAUGGGUGGGAUGUCAGAAUUGUAGAUGGAAUGACCUAAUUACAUGUUCAAGCAAGGACAAUGGUGAGCUCUUUGGUAGCAGUUGUCCUAACAGCCCACACUAAAGUUGAAACUGAUACAAAGAAAACUAAGUUACGAGGUGCAGAACAUUUUUAGAAUUUAGGGCAGGAACUAGCCUUUCUUUCACUUUGGGGGGAAAACUAAGAUUUGACAGAUUGGGUUUGUAGGAUUUUCAGGUAUUUUCUCAAGACUCAAGAAAACGGAAGACUUUGAAACACCUUGUACUUAGCCAACUUCUUAGUACUCAUGCAUGGACAAGACGCCAGUGGCAAGCAGAAAGUAGUUGCUGAAAAACUAAGGAAUUAAGCAGAGAUUUCAGUGGUCAUGAGGUGUUGAAGAGACAAAGGCUCCAUGUUAACAAAAGAGCAAGCCCUCUAGAUUCUCAGUUGAGUUCUCUGAAGACCUCUAGAGACACCUUAUGCAGCUGUGAUACGUCUUCGCAAGCCAGAAACAAGGUUGAGAAGUUCUCACUGAUUAUUUCCCGCUGUCCUUAGACGAGAGGGACUUUCCAACACAAUAUCUAGUUUAGUAUGUUAUAGAAAAU